rnacentral:rRNA from 1 species
AACGUAGGGCACAAGCGUUAUCCGGAGUUACUGGGCGUAAAGGGCGUGUAGGCGGGAUUAUAAGUCUACUCUGAAAGCUCCUGGCUAAACUGGGAGAGGCGAGUGGAGACUGUAGUUCUAGAGUGAGGAAGAGGAAAGUGGAAUUCCGCGUGUAGUGGUGAAAUGCGUAGAGAUGCGGAGGAACACCAGUGGCGAAGGCAGCCCCCUGGGAUAACACUGACGCUCAUGCACGAAAGCGUGGGGAGCAAACAGG